rnacentral:lncRNA from 1 species
UUUUGUGUAAGCAGUUUUAGAUGUGUAUAUCAAUAUUUUGUUUAAUUAUACCGGUACAUGUAGUAUAUUUUUAUGUUAUUACUCUUGGUUGUUUUGCCAAUAUCUUUUUUUAUCACCAGUUAUGCUUACAUUACCAAUAUAUGAUGGAUAUUUUUAUGUUGUAGUUUUAUUUGUUUAUAUGAAUAUCUUUUUAUACAUGUCAAAAGUGUAUUAUGGGUUACCAGAACCAGUCCAUCUGUCUGUCCAUAUGCAACACUUUGUACCAUAAGUCAAAUUUGCUGUUACAAAUUCACAUGUAAUCUUAACACAAUGUACAUUAUAGAUUAACUGAAGAAAGCCCUCUUUUAAUUUUGAAAAUAUUUGACUCUGUCGUUACAGGGUUACAAGACUAAUAACCUAUUAGAACUUAGACAAUUUUUUUACAUAUUGCACACUUGUUCUUAGAGGCUUGGAUUGUUUUCCUCAACAUUUCACAUUAUUGUUGAAAUGAAUAAUUUCUAGUUUGUUGUUCCAGAGUUACUUGACUAAGUCUUAAAGGUAGUCAUUUAAUUAAAAUUUUUACCAGUUGUACAAUUUAAGAAAGUUUUACUAGAAAACUAACACUGUUGUUUGGAUUAAUGGUGAAUGUAAACUCGCUUUUGAGCAAUCUAGCUGUAACUGUGGAAGAUAUUCUAGUGAUUUUUGUCUGGCCUCAAAGAGGCAUGAUGUUUUCAUCAGCAGCGGCAUCUAAAAUUUGUUUAAGAUUCCAAUAGGUCAGUUUAAGGGGAAGUUGUAUUAGCAUUCACAUUUCUUAACGCCAUUGAGGUUAAUUGGCCUUCACCUAAAUCAAGGUAUAUUGACUUUGAGACUUUUACUGUAAUAGUUUAAAAGUUAAAAUGUGUGACAAAGUCUGUUUAAGGCUGAGUCAAUGAUAUUUGGUAUGCAGCAGGCUUUGAAUGUUUUGUAUAGUUAACAUGUUAAAGUAUUGCCAUUUUAACAUGUCCAUUUUAUUGUUGAAAUGACAUACCUGUAUUGGCAAGACAUAUCUCUGUGUUAACAGAAUUAUUGUGUAGUUGAGAUGCACUUAUUAUAUGCACAUAGCCUUUUAAACAAGGUUGUUGAAGGUGCUAUAUAUUUCAAUCAUGAUACAUGUAUUAUAACAAAUUAUCUAUGCACUCAUAAAUGUAGAUGAUGGGUGCAAAUGGUGUGAAAAAAAUAUAUAAUUUGCAGAUUAUUUAAACUCAGAUCUGGCAGUUUGAACAAUUGUACUUAGAUGGUUUCAUGAUAACUUCUUCUGCCGUGUUUAUAAUGUAUUUUAAAUGUAUUUAUAUAUUUAUGAGUAUGUUAAUGAAU